rnacentral:tRNA from 2 species
UGGGGAUUAGCCAAGCGGUAAGGCAACGGACUUUGACUCCGUCAUUCCCAGGUUCGAAUCCUGGAUCCCCAGCCA